GAUGAACGCUGGCGGCGUGCUUAACACAUGCAAGUCGAACGGUAAGGCCCUUCGGGGUACACGAGUGGCGAACGGGUGAGUAACACGUGGGUGAUCUGCCCUGCACUUCGGGAUAAGCCUGGGAAACUGGGUCUAAUACCGGAUAGGACUCCUGGCUUCAUGGUUGGGGGUGGAAAGCUUUUGCGGUGUGGGAAGGGCCUUUGUCCUAUCAGUUUGUUGGUGAGGUAAUGGCUCACCAAGACUAUGACGGGUAGCUGGAUCGAGAGGUUGACCAGCCAGACUGGGACUGAGACACGGCCCAGACUCCUACGGGAGGCAGCAGUGAGGAAGUUUCCACAAUGGGCGAAAGCCUGAUGGAGCGACGCCGCGUGAAGGAUGAAGCUUUUCGGAGUGUAAACUUCUUUUAUGUGGGAAGAUUAUGACGGUACCACAUGAAUAAGGACCGGCUAACUACGUGCCAGCCGCCGCCGUAA
rnacentral:rRNA from 1 species